CCUACGGGAGGCAGCAGUGAGGAAUAUUGGACAAUGGGCGCAAGCCUGAUCCAGCCAUGCCGCGUGCAGGAAGAAGCAUCUAUGGUGUGUAAACUGCUUUUGUACAGGAAGAAACACUCCCUCGUGAGGGAGCUUGACGGUACUGUAAGAAUAAGGACCGGCUAACUCCGUGCCAGCAGCCGCGGUAAUACGGAGGUCCGAGCGUUAUCCGGAAUCAUUGGGUUUAAAGGGUCCGUAGGCGGUUUAAUAAGUCAGUGGUGAAAUCUGGUCGCUCAACGAUCAAACGGCCAUUGAUACUGUUAGACUUGAAUUAUAAGGAAGUAACUAGAAUAUGUAGUGUAGCGGUGAAAUGCUUAGAUAUUACAUGGAAUACCAAUUGCGAAGGCAGGUUACUACUUAUGGAUUGACGCUGAUGGACGAAAGCGUGGGGAGCGAACAGGAUUAGAUACCCUGGUAGUCCACGCCGUAAACGAUGGAUACGUAGCUGUUCGGAGACGAUACUGUAGUGGUCGUAGACGAAGUAGUAGUAAGUACUACCCGUACCGUACGGGUACGGUACGGUUACGUACGAAGAAGUAGUAACGUAACGAAGUAGUAAGUUAGUACGGACGUAGAGACGUAGACGACGGACGACGACGGAGGGAGGAGG
rnacentral:rRNA from 1 species